GCUUACGGCCACACCGGCCUGAGUACGCCUGAUCUCGUCCGAUCUCGGAAGCUAAGCAGGGUCGGCCUGGUUAGUACUUGGAUGGGAGACCGCCUGGGAAUACCAGGUGCUGUAAGCU
ensembl:rRNA 5S_rRNA 5S ribosomal RNA